GGGGGUGCAGUUCAGAGGUAGAGUACAUGCUUGGCAUGCAUGAAGUCCUGGGUUCCAUCCCCAGAACCCUGA
rnacentral:tRNA from 1 species